UGACGAGAUCGAAGUCGGGAUGGUGGGCGUCAACGUACCGCUGCCGGUACCUGUGGCUUACCACAGCUUCGGUGGUUGGAAGCGUUCGCUGUUUGGCGACCUGCAUGCCUACGGUCCGGACGGCGUGCGCUUCUAUACCCGUCGCAAGGCGAUCACUCAGCGCUGGCCGCAGCGUGCCAGCCAUGAAGCCUCGCAGUUCGCCUUCCCUAGCUUGUAAUAAGUAGAAGGGUAUUAAAGGCCGCCCCCUAGGGGGCGGCCUUUGCUUUUAGGGGCGUUUUUGACUGAUAUGACAGAUUUGUGAAAAUAAGUGUUGACGACAGAUUCUACAGGUCUAUAAUUCGCCCCACUUCCGGCGCAGUCGAAACGGAAAACUCCUUGAGAUUCAACGAGUUACGCAGUUUUCGACAGCGGUUACGCUUCAGUUCAUCGAAGCCCGAAGGAGUUGGUAAGGUGUCUUGUUUUCGCCUUAUUAACGGUUCGAUCUUCUCGGUCGAAAGCGGAGAAAAAGAGGUGUUGACAGCAGCGUGUAACGCUGUAGAAUUCGCCUCCCGCUGACGAGAGAUCGGAAGCGCAAGUGGUUGAAGUUGCAAAGGAAACUUUGAAAACUUCUUAAAAUAACCGCUUGACAGAUACAGAGGCUGCUGUAGAAUGCGCGCCUCGGUUGAGACGAAAGACUUAACCAACCGCUCUUUAACAACUGAAUCAAGCAAUUCGUGUGGGUGCUUGUGGAGUCA
rnacentral:rRNA from 1 species